AGCAGUAUGGCUUAAUGGAUAGAGCACAGACCUAGGAGUCAGAUGAUCUGGGUUCUAAUUCCAGCUCUGCCA
rnacentral:tRNA from 1 species